CGUCGCGGAACCGCGCUCAGUUUCGUUGGAAGGAGCGCCACGAGGCGGCAGCAUCGUUCUCCAGGCGAGAACUCGAGGCGUCGUCAGUGUGUCCGUUCGUUCGAGCGGCGUCGGAGCCCGCGCCGCCCCCCGAGUCCUCUCGGCGUCUCCGCGCCACCUGCCGCCGCGCGGCGCCGCGUCGCGACGCGCCUCCAUUGAAUCUAUCUCUCGCGGUGGCUCGGUCGUGUCUCUUUGAUCGCUGGCUCACUGGCCGCCACGUACGCGGAGGAUCCACGACGACGAGCAGCGAUCCGUGCGAGAGCCGCGGCGGGCGCGCUCGAAUGCCGGCCCUCUCUGUUUAUGAGAGGCGUCCCGACGCGACCGGCUGACCUAGGCCGGCGGCAAUUUCGACCGCGGAUUCGGAUCGGUUUGAUACGCGCGCGAACGCGCUGUUGCGCCCGCAGGAGACGAAGGAAAAAAACCCUGUCAAACAUAACGGGAUCAGCGAUCACACUCUGUUCCUGGGAACGAACGCGUGCAUCGAAAUCGAAUCGUGUUCCCGUGAAGUCUCGUAUUCCUUUCCUCGUGCAACCUCGCGGUACCUCGUCUCGUUAUUAUUAACGUGCCGACUGCAAUAAAUUGUGAUCCUCGUUGGGAUCCUUUUCGUGAUCCUCACUGACAAAGUUUGCGUGUUCAGUCGCGUGUCCUAUUUGCUACGCAUCACGAUCGAACCUGAUAAUACGGAUGUGAUGAUAAUCUGAUGGUGAUGAUCGCGGAGGAUACGAAGCGGAUCGACGACAAACCAGCAGGUGAAAGUGACUUUCCACGGCGAUUAGAGGCCGCCUGAAUCGACGGCGGUGCAGUCCAAGAGAGGCAGAUCUGAAAGGCCACGGUGAAACGAGGACAACGAGGAGUGGGAACACGAACGAGGGAUCGAAGAUCGUUGAAGAGAGUCUUCCGAGACUUCUCGUUUCCGGAGGUCUCGUUAAACGAAUCCUCGAAAGACCGAGGCCAACCGUGUAAUAUAGAAGAUAUUCUCCGGUGUAUCUCGUUGCUGAAACAAUUCCCCGGAGAAGUUUAUUGUUGAUUAUUCAGACGAAUUUAUCGGAACUCGUUGUUGUUGACCCCUCGCGACCGUUAAACUUGUUGAUCCGCGCAAGUGUGCAUCGUGUUUCGCUAGGAGCCACCGUAGAACGCCAUCGAACGUUUCUUCCUUCGCGUCGAAAUGAGUACGAAUUCGACGUAGGAUAGAAAAGGCAAAAGAAAAAAAAAAAAGAGCACGUUGAUACUCGGAACGGGAAACUCUGUGUCUGCUCUUGUGAUCGCUCGAGCCUCGAGUGCUCGGAGAACACGGCUGUUUCCGAGAGAGGUUGCUCCGGGACAGAGGAAAACCAAUGUGGAGGGAUAGGGUUUUGUUUAUUGAGUCUAUAAGAAGGUUGUUGGAGUUUCGUGCGCCGGGAAACCUGUUUCUUCGUAAAGCUUUCUCGUCACGGGAGGGAAAUUUA